CUUGAAAACCCAAAAAACUCUGCAAAAAUAUCAUCAGCACUCCGUGGAUUGAAUCGGAAUGAUGCAGGAAUAUCUCCAGUGGAGAAGUAGGAAGUUCCACCAGCAUCAGGGGGUGGCACCGAGCCUUUUAGACCUUCUUCACCAUAUUGGUCAUAUACUGCUCUUUUCUGGGGAUCACUGAGAACCUCAUAGGCCUCGGAGAUUUGUUUAAACUUAGCUUCAGCCUCUUUCUUAUUAUUGGGGUUCUUAUCAGGAUGCCAUUUCAUGGCAAGCUUCCUAUAAGCCUUCUUCAAGUCAUCAUCUUUCGCAUUCCUGUCUACUUGUAAGAUCUUGUAGUAAUCUACCCCCAUCCUUUCUAUUCUUUCCUUUCCCUUCAAACAAACAAAAGCUUCGGUUCUCUGCUCGGUGACGGCGGGUUUCAAAGCUCUGCACUUGAUGAUGUUGGUGGUGGUGGUGG
rnacentral:misc_RNA from 1 species